GUUAAUACUUCAUUAAUUUCUUUAGGUAACAAAUCGAUGAAAGCAAUUGGUAAUAAUCUUUGCAUGAACACAUGACAGUCAUGAGACUUCAUACCUGAGAAUUUGCAAUCUUCGACGCUUGCACAUCUAGAUAUAUUUGAAACAUAACCAUCAGGGAAACGCAAUGUCUUCACCCAUUCACAAACUUUCUUGAUUUGGUCCUUCUCAAGAGCAUAAGAGGCCUUAGGAAUAAAUAUUUUGUCGUCACAAAUUUGUGGGUGCAAGCUAUGUCUAAUACGCAUAUCCUGAAGGUCUUUCCGAG
rnacentral:lncRNA from 1 species